GGCAUAAUAUUCUCCAUUCAUACCUACCCGCCACUAGGGGUCACUCGUGUUUACGUGAUGCAUAGUAGAGUGCACACAGAGGAAGAGUGUACUACAUGUGUGGGUUGUGCUUGUUCACAUAGACAUCAUGCUUGUUCAUAGCUGUCUGCAGCUGAGCACAUGAGCAGUUGUGCAUAAGAUUAAAAGCAAACAUCAGCCUUUCUUAAGGAAGGGGGGAAAGUCCUGCUUGUGUUUUGCUUACCACCUUGUGCAUCAUGUAUUUGGUGUCUGUCUGCAAGAUAUUUCCUGGUGGAUAUAUACAUAUCUAAUGUGGCGGAGAUUGAGCAGGGGAGAACAGAUACACGUGUGUCAGCGCCUCGUUUCAUGUUACAGCGUGUCACAGAAAUAGCAUCCAAAAGCCACUACCGUUGUUUUAUAGGGGUAUAUUUCAUACAGGGCUAUUUUUGUGUGUUUUCAUUUAUUUUCUCUGUUGAUUUGGGAUCUUUAUAAUCUUGAGAAGGAAUGUGAUUUAAGGAGAAAUGUGUAAUAACCCUUUCUAAUCAGCCGAAUUUCACCCAAAGGGAGUGUUCAAUAGUUGGGCUACUGUUUUAUUUGUUUUAUUUAUUUUUCUUUAAACUGAAUAGGCCAUUGUAACAAAAUAUUUACACUGUAUUUGGAGCUUGUGUUAAUUUGAUCUCUUUUUAUAUUUCUUGUAAACUUGGUUUAUUAUAAUAUACUACGCAGGGGGAAAUUUCACAGUCAUUUAAUGCUGUGUUUUCUCUUAACUCAGUCGGAAAUAAAGAACACCUGUUAGAUGUAUGGCUGUGCUG